UACGGGGGGUGCGAGCGUUGUCCGGAAUCACUGGGCGUAAAGGGUGCGUAGGCGGGUCUUUAAGUCAGGGGUGAAAUCCUGGAGCUCAACUCCAGAACUGCCUUUGAUACUGAAGAUCUUGAGUCCGGGAGAGGGAUGCGGAAUUCCAGGUGUAGCGGUGAAAUGCGUAGAUAUCUGGAGGAACACCGGUGGCGAAGGCGGCAUCCUGGACCGGCAUUGACGCUGAGGAGCGAAAGCCAGGGGAGCAA
rnacentral:rRNA from 1 species